UUCCUACGGGAGGCAGCAGUAGGGAAUUUUCGUCAAUGGGCGCAAGCCUGAACGAGCAAUGCCGCGUGAACGAGGAAGGUCUUCGGAUCGUAAAGUUCUGUUGAAGGGGAAAAAGAGCGGAGAGAGGAAAUGGUCUCCGAUUGAUAUUACCCUUCGAGGAAGUCACGGCUAACUACGUGCCAGCAGCCGCGGUAAUACGUAGGUGGCGAGCGUUAUCCGGAUUUAUUGGGUUUAAAGGGUGCGUAGGCGGUUUGAUAAGUUAGAGGUGAAAUGUCGGGGCUCAACCCCGAAACUGCCUCUAAUAC
rnacentral:rRNA from 1 species